rnacentral:rRNA from 2 species
CGCCUCUUGCAAAACCAACGAAUAAGAGGUCCCGCCUGCCCUGUGACUAUAUGUUCAACGGCCGCGGUAUUUUGACCGUGCGAAGGUAGCGUAAUCACUUGUCUUUUAAAUGGGGACCUGUAUGAAUGGCACAACGAGGGCUCGACUGUCUCCUUUUUCUGGUCAAUGAAAUUGAUCUUCCCGUGCAGAAGCGGGAAUAUUAACAUAAGACGAGAAGACCCUAUGGAGCUUUAGAUAACAAGGCAGACUGUGUUAAACACCCUUAUAAAAUAGGCCAAACUAGCUGAAAACUGCCCGAAUGUCUUUGGUUGGGGCGACCGCGGCGAAACAAAAAACCCCCGUGUAGAAAGAGGGAACCACCCUCCAAACCAAGAGCUCCCACUCUAAUAAACAGAAUAUCUGACCCAUAAGAUCCGGCAAUGCCGAUUAACGGACCGAGUUACCCUAGGGAUAACAGCGCAAUCCCCUUCUAGAGUUCAUAUCGACAAGGGGGCUUACGACCUCGAUGUUGGAUCAGGACAUCCUAAUGGUGCAGCCGCUAUUAAGGGUUCGUUUGUUCAACGAUUAAAGUCCU